ensembl:snRNA U6 U6 spliceosomal RNA
GUACUGCUUUGGCAGCACAUAUACUAAAAUUGGAAUGAUACGGGGAAGAUUAGCACAGUCCCUGUGAAAGGAUGACGUGCAAAUUCAUGAAGCAUUUCAUAUUUUU